UUGUUUAUGCUUAUUUUUUUUAAAUUGUGUUGUAGUUUCGUUUCGGCGGCAGAAACUUGUUUUUGUCCGUUUCAUGCUUUUCUUCUGUUUAUGCGUUUGACCACAAAAAAGAUCUGAAAAGAGCGCGCGCGGGAGAUGUUAUUGUUUAGCACACACUGUUAUAUAUCUAGCCAAAUAUUUAAAAAAGGGCGUAUCUGCAAAACCCAAACAUUGAGAAAAAUGUAAAGGGUUUGGUCAAAUUGCUUCUACUUGUACCACCCAACACAAGAAAAUACUUUUCGGGUUUGAUAUUACACCGACAGCAAGAAGAAUUAAAUAAAAUCUGAUUUGAUGGCCAGAUUUGCCCUAUUGAACAUCUUAAAAUCGCAUAGGCCCUGCAUGUAAAUCGUAGAAAAGUUGGGUUUAGAGCAGUUCCAGUUCUAGUAAUUCAUUGAAUAGGUGUUGCGUUGUUUUUCCAAUCAGUUAUAAUGCAAUAACCCUUUGAACUGAGUGUAUUGCUAGUUAGAUCCUUUUAAAUCAGUUAGGCAUUUUUGAAAUCAGUUAGGCCUAUUUAAAACCAGUUAGGUCACAAAAAUCUGAUAAUUUGUGAUAAAAUCGUUAUCCAAAUUCUUCAUAAGAGACCAUCCAUAAAUGAGCAUUGCAUGGGGGAGGGGGGAGUUUUGUAUUUUGUAAUGAUGUGUGACGACAGGGGAUAGGGGUCAUGUCAUGCUACGUAGCUUUUCAAAGGGGAAUUGGGGUUGACAUGAUGUCACGACAACCUUACCCGUUUCAUCUAACUAUCAUCGUUCUUCAUUUUUUAAAUUUUUGCGUGACAAGCGAGGGGUAGGGUUACCGUCAAGCUACGUAAUUGCGUAAAUGACCGCGUUCAGUUAGAUAUCUUUUAAUGAAUUCAGUUUGUUUACAUUUUGUAUUUAGGUUCUUUUCAAACGUUUGGCUAGAUAUAUAGUACUGAAGAAUGGCAAUGAAAAGUUUUCACAUAGUUUACUGUUUCGUGGAAUUUGAACCAAUGAAGAAAAUUGGAAUGGCUUUUGCAUUUAAGCGGUAAAUGUACCUCGCGUAAAAAGCAGCGUGAAUAUUGGUGGUAUAACGACGGUAAUGCAGUGUGUCAUUUUAUCAUGUUGAGGCUUUCUUUGGUGAACGUUGGCCUAUCUUCGUAAACACUACUUGGAUAUUUAAUUCAUAUUAACUUUUAGGCGGAUUUAAACAUUUUGUUAGCAUGCUCUUCUUCUCGCUGAUUUCUCUUAAUAUGCUAUAGUUUCAGCAACAAAAACAUUAACGAUCGCUAACUACGAAAGGUAACGAUGUGGUCUAACGCAUGUUUUUAAUAAAAUAUAAGUCUAGCACAGUAAUAAACGAAAAAUGUUCGUCUACAAAAAUCUUUAGCCGUUUAAAGAAUUAAUGUUGAAAUGUUUAGAAAAACUUUAUGAAAAAAGUUUGAGACAUGUAUUUCCGACGUUAGAUCGGUAAAUAUGAUCAAACAGACAAAUAUAAUAUUGAUCUAAGUACGUAAUAUUUAUUAGAUUUUUCAUAUUCAUAUAUUCUCGUUAUUUAUUUUGUGUUCAUUUAACAACAUAUGUAAUGACAACCUAUUACAGGAUGCUUUCAAUCAAGCCAAGAGAUGCAAGGAAGAUUUCUAAAUCUAUGAAAAUGUUCGACACAUGAAUUUGAUUCGGAAAUUUAUGUUAUUUUCAUUUCUGAAUUCGAGUCGCUUUAAUUUUACUCGAAACUGUCUUUUUCAAAUUGAUAUUGUAAACAUUAGAGCGAACCUAGAGCGACUCGAAUCCAAAAACGAAAUCACUAUUAUCUAGAUAAUUCCGAAAAAAUGCUCGAUGUUGUCGUUUUUUUUGAAAACAGCGUUUCAAUAACUAAAACUUUCGAUCAUGUCCAUAUGAGCCUGCCUAGUCCUAGUUUUCCGUUCUAAGUUUAUAACUGAUUCGCUCUAAAAUACCUAUCCGUCUUUCAAUUUCGUUGCUUUCGUUUCUCUUAGUCUCAAACAAACUAGGUAAAUGCCUAUUAUCCUUCUUAAUAUCAUGAGCUGUUUUUCCAAUUCAAUUACGGUAUCCUACGUACGCAGACGAUGACCAACAGCAUUAUCAUUACUGGGUUUCACGAAUUUUAAACAUUACAAUCUAUUGAUGCAUUUACUGCUACUAAACCAUCGGUUUCUACAUUGCUCUAGUAUUUGCGGUGUUACUAAUGUAAUGCAGCUUUGCCGCAUAAAGCAGACCCUACACGAGACAAGAAUAUUUUUAAUAAAAAUAUUGACAACACUGCUUCAAUACGUCAAUCCCAUUUGAAUUCACCAGAAUUUUUCAAAAUGUGCUUACACGAUCAAUAAAUGGUUUAUUGUCAAUAUUUCUGCUCGUGUUUUAACAGAUAACCAAGAAUCCGAUGCGGCGCAAAGCCGAUCCGCCGUACAGUGAGCACCUUCCACACAAAAGUCGGACAAAACCUUUCUUCACUUGGUUGAAAACCGGUUUUCAUUGAAAACCGGGCUUCGUCUAAUUGGUCACCUGCAACCCGAAAACUGGUUCAUGCACAACUAUAACACAACCAUGCGUCUCCUUCAAACAUCAUGAAAAAAUGCCUUUUUUCAUACCUCCGGGCAGAAAGGGGCACUAUAGCCACCUCAAACAUUCUAAUUUUAAUUUAAUGCACGAUUUAUUAUUUGUUCUCCAUGUCUGAACGAGAAAAAAGAUUUGUAUCGACUAAAUCGAAAGGCACGUAUAAGUCCAGCGAAUAACCAUUCAAAUGAAACCAGUUCGAGCCCAAUCAAAAUCUUAACUAAAAAGAUUUAUUCAUUUGAAUAACAUAGCUUUGAAUACAGUUUUUCUCAGAAUUUAUCAUCUUUUAAAGUUCCAUCAAAAAUCAAACUUUCUUCCUCAAGAUUUAAUAUUUUGAGAAGACUAACCAACCUGUUUACUAACAGAGAAAAAUGUUAAAUGAUAAUUUUGAGGUUUUGUCGACAUUGUACGUCGUCGGAAGCGGCGGCCUCUCGCAAGCAAAUCUGUGAUCCUCUCGUUUGCCAGGAUUACUCAAUUAUAGUAGGGGCUAUCAAUUUACUUAAGCGAUUCGAACCGACAUGGCGUAGUAAUAUUAGACGUACAUGUUAUUUAUUAAUUUGUGAAAAAGAAUAAACUAAUUAUGUUGGACCUUCAGCAGUAACACGGUUCAAAAUUAUGCCGAAUAACCUUACUUCUCACACAGUCUAAAAUUAUGCCUGAUUCAUUGUAGAAAAAAACGGCAAAUGACCUCCAAUCCAAUCACUUCUCAAAAUUAUGCCAAAUGUCCGUUCACGCUAUUUUAGAAAUAUUUCCAAAUGGGCCGUUAUCCUGGAGAUACAAUAAAUUAUGCCAAAUGACCCUCAAUGUGAGAAAUUCGCAAAAUUAUGCCAAAUAACCGUUAUGUCAAAUGUCCGUUAUGCUAAAUGAUCUCCUUGAACUGGAUUCAUCUUUGUCAGAUAAAUUCGAGAACGUUUUUUUCGAUUAUAGAGGUUUUAUCCUUAAAGUCUGUUCUGUUAUGAAAGAUUUCUAACCCUAUGUGCGCGGGGCCGGGACUCGAACACAGGUGCGCUGCGUACAAUGCAAUCGAUUUACCAACUACGAUACACCCACCCCCCAAUCCGAGAUUGUGUUUUACAAUGGGAUGAGAUUUCGGUUUGACGAUUUCUGCAUUUCCACAAAAGUGCGUUUGGAUCGCUCUUUUGGGGUAACCCAGCUGUUCGGCCAUCUAUGGAAGCUGACCUUCAAUGUCAGCUUCCCUCUUCGAGCAGAUCGACCUAGAUAAGCCAUGUAAUGUCGGUGUGGUAGUGGUUGUUUCAACCGGCUAUGAAUUACACUACGGACUACCUGAUCCGGUUGUAAAAACCCACCAAACGGGGAACUGGCUGGGGGCUUACUGAGACUUUCGGCUGAUGGUAGUUCGGUGAAGUCUGAUUUGAUUAUCGAAUUUCAAUACGUACAGACGAACCUGUCCAGAGGGCGCGUGGUAUACGGCUUAGAAUUGAACCACUGAGUUUCUGCUCCCAUGUCAUAAGAGGCGACUGAAAGGAGUCCCUAAGUCAAGGUGUACUUCCGUACCUUGAUGGCUGGAGGGUCUAAAAUAUGCUAGUCGCGCACGGAGUCUGUAAAUUAGAGCCACUUUGCUGAGUUAUCAGUUGAAAAAUUUUACUGCGGAAAUUACCGAACGAAAUUAAGUGUGUACAGCUUUCAAUGCAUUGGUUCAUGAAGCAUACUUCUAUAAACUUCUAUAUUGGAAAUUUACUUAACACUGUCUUCAAUGCUUACAAAAAGACAGGUAUGUCUAACCCACGUGAAAUGCCUCGUUUUUACAUUCUUGAAUAUAAGGCUUUUACGCGUGUUUCAUAUCGGAGCCCACAACUCGCGAUAUCUGUGCAGUCGCAGUUACACCGACUGUCGGUAGCAGACAAAACGUAUGUAUUGUUCAGCAUAUCUACCGCUGAUCUGAUGAUUUCAAAAGCGUUGUAUCAUAUUGUAGCAGAAAUAGGCUUCCGCUCAUUAUCGGCAGUGGCGCAAUAAUGCUCAUCACAUCAUUUGGGGCAGCUCAGAUAUUAAUCCAAAAGGCUCUGAACUGAUGAAGUACAUAAGUAAUACAAAUCUCCAUAUUGUGAAUGUGGCAAACCGACCUACUUUUGCGAGGUUUGGGAGAGAGGUGUUAGACAUAACGCUUGGCUCUGAAAGAAUUUCGCAUGAACUAGGGAAGUGGCAGGUUUCAAAUGAAACUGAACCGUCUCUAUCCGAUCAUAAAUAUAUAUUUUUCGAUCAUCUUGAUGUCGACCUCGAUGUGGUAGUAUAUCGUAAUCCAAAAUCUACAAACUGGGACCUCUUUUUGAAAAACAACUUGGCAACAAAAUUUCAUUGGAUGACGUCGUGGAUAUGACAAACUCAACCACUUCGAACUGUUAAAUCGACUAGGGGAACUCCAUGAUGUAGGGUUGAGCUUGUAAGAAUAAAGAAGGAUAUGAGAAGAGCUUGGAAUCGCCACCAGCGUGACACGACUUUCACUGCAGAGCGGGCUGGCUGGCAAAAACCUAUGUACUAAUGUCUCUAGUUUGAACGGGUCUAGCAGGUUAGAUAAAAUUCUCUCAAAAUCGAAAGAUUUUCAGAUGAACCACUUAAAAACCGGAGAUGGUAUUUAUGUGACGGAUGAAAAAGAUAUUCUGAAUUGUCUCUUCGACGCACACUGUUCAGGUUGUAUCAAACCAGAGCUGAACAAUGUUCACAGAUCUCAAAUAAGAAAAGAUGGAAUAUUUCCAAAUAGGUGUUCAUAUUCUCAAACAUGUCAUGGAAAGGAUUAUGCUUUCCAGUCUUGCUACCGGGUAUAUCCCGAAAUCAUGGUGAGAAAUAGCUUUUAGAUUUAUUCCCAAAAGGGGGCGCUCCAGCUAUGAAGAAGCCAAGAGUUUUAGGCCUAUCAACUUAAUUUCUUUUCUUCUAAGAACUGUGGAACGGAUAAUCGAUCAUCGCACUAAGAACGUUAGUUUAGUUGAGCAUCCACUGCACAACCGUGCCCAGUGAUUUCGAAAAAUCUCCCACAUUUUUCGAAACGCUACUUGCAGCAUACUGACCAAGGCUUUAACCGGCCACUGUAAACUCCAUUUUCACAUGGCAACAAUUCAGCGCGCUGAGUUUUUUUCAUGUGAUCUUUGUGAAUCUGACUGUGGAACCUCAUAUCAUUUGAUAUGCAACUGCCCAGCAGUAGCGCAAUUGCGAUUGCGAGUUUUUUGUCGUCAGAGACAUACUAAAGUUCCUUAACCAAUGUGGUAAAGAGCUUUGGGCUUACUUGCAGGCAAUUUUAACUCCUGAGUUUAAUUUACCUGCUGUUUGUUUUUGUGCUGUUAUUUUUCCACCCUGCCAAUUCUACUUCCUUCGUCCUCCUCAUUUUCUUCCGCUCAGGAAACGAUGAAAAUACAUGGCAAGACACGAAUCCGCGACUACAUACGGAGAACGUGGCAUUUUAGCCAAUAUAUUCUGAUUCCUGACAGAAGGUUUAUUUUGUACCGUCUCGUUUUUGCGUAGGAGGCGGGGCAUUUCUUCCUUGUCACACCAAGAGUAAGUAUAUAACCGUUAUCUCCUUCCGAGCUGUAUUCGUCAUCGUCAGGUAAAUCCGAGAACGUGUUUUGCAAUGGGAUCGGAUUUCGGUUUGACGAUUUCAGUGUUUCCGUGAAAGUGCGUUCGGAUUGCUCUUUUGGGGAACGCUUGAGCGUAUCCCAGCGUAUCCUAUACGUUGCGCACUCACGCGUAGUGUGAGAAUUACCACCACAAAGAAGACAUUUUUCAUUCUCCUUUGUGCAUGAAUCAUUCUUGUGUGCACCACCGCACUUUGAGCGUUUUAAUUUACUAAAACAGUAGGUGCUCGUGUGGCUCAUCUUUUUGCAAUUAGUGUUCACGAUUCUGGGAACGUAUAUUUGUCUGUCAGUGCGUAAUUGCGCAGAGCAGUACCUUCAUAAGUCAGCCGACAGGGAUUUAGAGUGCUAAUUAUUGCCGUCAGGCGCAGGCCACGAUUCUAGAACUAUUAAAUAGUUCUAAAAUCGUGGCCUGUGCCUCACACUGAGUUUAAUUCAUUUACCUUCAAAAAUACCCAUCCCCUUUUGCAGAUCAGCAAGAGCUAAAGAUUCCUCGUUUGCCACGCCGCCUAUUUCGAUGACGUUCGCCGGAAUAUAUAGCAGAAAUUCGAUACUGAAUCGCGGGUCAUUCACAACCGCAUUAGUCUGAAUUCGAUCAGAAAGAAUAACGCGAAGCUUAUUUGUGUGUACUCUAGUCAUUUCGCGUACGCAAGCGAAAUUGUGUGAGCAAUUUCACGGAACCUAGCGAAAUUAGCAGUCAAGUCUGCUGAUUCAUGCCACCCGUAGUGGUUUUCCUUUGAGUCUGAAGAAAAUGAUCCAUUUAUCGACCGGCCGAUCGAUGUAUUGUCAGACGCGUAUUGAAUAAACGUUGAUUCUUGUUCUGUUGGGGAGAAAUUUUAUCUUGAUUAGGGUUUUGGGUGAUCGGGAGAAGAUAACUGCUGAAUUCUACAGGCAGCAAAAAGAUUUGUAGGUUCAAUAAAAAUAUGAAUGAAUUUUUUUCUCCACCAUAAUAUUUGUACAUCGCCUGCUCUAAAAUAUGUAUGUCACCAUAAACCGUAUUGUUCUUGAAUGGUAAUGUUGUCGAGACGUAUAUGUAAAAAGCAUAUUUUAGUAGGAUGACCAUUCUUAACUCGUUUGUAUGGUCGAGUAUGUAAAAACAAUAAAAUGAUUAUGUUCGAGAUUGGAUACCAGGCAAUGGAUAUUCUAUUGUUGAUCAAAUCAUAUUGGAAAUGGUUUUUAAACGUUUGAUAGAAUGAUUGGUAUAUGGUAUACAUUUUUGCGGGUGGUUCUUAUAUUUACAAUAUGUAAACCAUGACAAUAAAUAUAAAUAUUCAGCGUCCGUCGGAUCUACAGAUUUGCACGCAACAUUUAACCUUCCAAUUUUAGCAGUGUUGCAAGCCUACCAAUUUUACCAGUGUUGCACAUUGUCCUAGGCUGCAACAUAAAGUAUUUUUCUGCAUUUCCUUGAGGAAGUCUUCACUUUUUCAACAAUAUCAUUUCUAAAGACUCGCGUUGAAAUUAUUCAGAGUUAUGGACCGUAAUAAUUUGAGCUAAAAAUCUAGUUAAAAAAACAACUGGUUAUUUGCUGUGAAGUUUUUUUUUCAUUCACGUUCAUUGUUUAAUCUAACAAUAUAUUCUAAACAUGUUUUGUUAUUUUGUACCACGUAUUCAUAAAAUGUCUUAGAACAUAAAAAACUCAUUUCAUUCAGGUUGAAUAAGAAAAAAAAGGAGUAGAAUCGGUGUUACAAACAAUAGCCAGUUACAAAAAACUAAAAACGCUGAUCGUCGAUUCAACUAGAACCGAACAACGUCUACGUGACAGAACUUACUGCCUAUCAGUCAAAUUCUCUGUUCAUUUCAUACUAAAAUACCCAUACCGAAUGACCGUUCAAGUUGAAGCCUCUAAAUAAACAAACGAACAACUCAUUUCAGUAAAAAAAACUAUACAAAUUAAAAAAAACCAAUUGCAGUCAAUAUCGUUUCUCGUUUGCAGUAAUAUUGUGUUCAGUGUAUAUCUAAAAAAAUCCAUACGUACAUCACCCAUUGUCAAUCAAAAUUCAAUUGAUGCUAAAAAAACAAGAUUCUCCACCGUACCGCUGACUUUUGUCGAAAGGAUUCGAAACUCACACUGUUCUAGUUUAUUGCAGAUAAUGCAAUUCUUGUGGUUAUAUUUAACAAACGAAGUUACAAAAGAACAAAAUUAGAACUAUCAGUUGUGGCAUAUACAAAAAAUACAUACGAAUGGCACUAUAAUAUCUUACAUCGAAUCAAAAUUGGCAUUUCCCAAUGUCCUUCUGUAUAAUAAAGUUGGGUAAUAAUUAUUGAAAAACAACCCCGUAAUAGCGAGAAUGUCUUAGAAGAAUUCCUACAGUAAGAUUCAAAUCUCAAUUUUGUUUCAUUCAUGUCGUUUAAGGUCCAUCUAGUGUGAUUAUAUGCUGUGUGUAAAAUAUGUUUAAUCGAGAGAACUAACGCAGCUAACCCUGGAUUGGUUUUGCGUGUUUUGAAUGUUCAUAUCAUUUUUAACGCGCUUAACAUCGCCAAUUCAUAACAUAACUGAAAUAUUAGGUUUGUUCCAUCAGUGCUCCAAAGCAAAUAGAGAGAAAAUCUUCAGUAAAAUUCCCAAGCUCCCGUCUACGGAACAGAACGUCGACGUCACUUCACCGUUCCGUCAGUUUAAGUUGAAUGCAUUUCAGACGUUCCGUAUCUCAAAAAGCCCCGUGCAUUUAUUUCGUGUGUGAACUAAGACGACGGAUCGUGUAAGUUGCACUUUAAUCUAGUAUUUAACGGAGUCUUCUCUUUUUCUGCUAACAAGACGGGAGUAAUAAUGAGCGAGUUUUUUCUGCUUUCUUUGCUGCUGAGAAUCUGAGAGCAGGAAGCAAGAACUGGAUCAAAGUUAUAUUCUUUCUGCCACUUCACUUCGUAGUGGAUUGGUACAAUCAAAACAUGGCACGAAACUUCAUAGCGUGGCGCUGUUUUAAUACGAAUGCUCAAUGAAAUACCCAUACUACUGCAAAUGGUUGAUGCUUACUGCACCUUUCUGUGCCAUGCAACGUCUCGCUGGAAUGAAUGCUCCGCAUGCUUGCCUGCGCAGUCUCGCAUUGCAUCAAACUAUCACUGGGUUUGUGUUUCCCCUCCGUCUUCGCAGAUUGACAGUGUUGUCACUCGUGAAGCAGUAAACUUAAACAAGACUAAUGAAAACUGCAUAUUUUUAUGUAGGCUGGUUGAAAAGAUCGCCAUUUUUCUAUUUUUCAUAGUGCAUUCGAAUCACCACAACACGGUAGAAAAAAUCCCACAGCUGUUCUAACUUUGUUCUUUUGCGCGGACAGUGCCGAGUCUGGUGAAGGAAAAACGUCUCCCGAGCCAUUACCUGCUGAGGAGAUCAUCCUCGCACCUUCUGAGCCUGUGGAUUCCUGUCGGUCAGAGAACGAGUUCAAAACUCCCGAACCUGUGGAUUCCAA